rnacentral:rRNA from 1 species
UCCCGGGAAAUCUUGUGAAACUCCGUCGUGCUGGGGAUAGAGCAUUGCAAUUUUUGCUCUUCAACGAGGAAUUCCUAGUAAGCGCAAGUCAUCAGCUUGCGUUGAUUACGUCCCUGCCCUUUGUACACACCGCCCGUCGCUGCUACCGAUUGAAUGGCUUAGUGAGGCAUCGGGAUGGAAAGAAAAGAGGGGCAACCCUUUUUUCUGUCUAAAACUUUGUCAAACUUGGUCACUUAGAGGAAGUAAAAGUCGUAACAAGGUUUCCGUAGGUGAACCUGCAGAAGGAUCAAAUC